rnacentral:lncRNA from 1 species
AGAUAAGGUCUGGCCCUGUUGGCCAAGUUGGAGUGCAGUGGCACAAUCUUGGUUCACUGCAGCCUCUGCCUCCCAGGCCCAAGCCAUCUUCCCACCUCAGCCUCCUGAGUAGCUGGGAUUACAGGCACACACCACCACACCUGGCUAAUUUUUGUGUUGUUUUUUUUCUGUAGAGACGAGGUUUCGCCAUGUUCCCGAGGCUGGUCUUGAACUCAUGAGCUCAAGCGGUCUGCCGGCCUUGGCCUCGCAAAGUGCUGAGAUUAGAGGCGUGAGCCGCCUCACUCAGCCUUCAUUCCUUUUUAUGGCCAAAUAAUAUUCUGUUGGAUGAAUGGGCCACGUUGUGUUUUUCCAUUUAUCCGUUGACAGGCACUUUGUUACCACUUUUUGGCAUUUCUUCGAGGAUCUUUAUAGUCUGACAGUUUGAUUUUCAUUUGGUGACAAGGGGAUUGUUCUUACACAAGGCCUUGGUCGUACUGAUGCUGUCAGCUGGAGGAUGUAUUUUGCUUCCUGUUCACAUUGUCUGUGCGUGGGAUGGUCAUGAGUCAGGUGGUAGAGCGGGUGUGUUAGCCUUGGGGUAUUUUGGUGAGACAAUUCGGUUUAAGGAAGGAAACACGUUUUCAGGACCCGUACCCCAAAACACAACCAUAACCCGAGGUCGCCACUUGGCUGAGCUGUCCCCCACAGGGACUUCAGGUCCCUGGUUCCUCCAUCCCCAAUCUGCUUCCUUCCAUUCCCGCCAGAACCAGGGUAUUUUCCAAGGGCAGGUUUCACAUCCACUUGGGGCAGGGAUCUUAAGCCACAGUAAGACUAAUUUCCAGGUCCCAGGUCUCCUGGGAAACCCCAAAAGACUGAGCCCUGCCGAGUGAGAACAUUCUCUGAAGCUCUGAUAAUCAAAACAGCGUGGCACCUCACAAGCCUCAGCAGCCCAGAGGCGGACCACAUGUAUAAAAUAACGCCAUGUGUAGUAUUUAACAAAGGAGGCUCCCCAAUCCAGGGAGGGAAGGAUUCUUUCACAAAAGGCAUGAAAACAGUUGCUUCCAUGUUUGGAAGCAGUUUUGUUUUGUUUUUUGUUUGUUUUUUUGAUACAUGGUCUUGCUCUGUGGCCCAGGCUGGAGUGCAGUGGCAUGAUCACAGCUCACUGCAGCCUUGGCCUCAUGGGCUCAGGCAAUCCCCCUGCCUCGGCCUCCCGAGUAGCUGGGAUUAUAGAUGUGCACCACCACGCCCAGCUAAUUUUUUAAUUUUUUAUAGAGAUGGCGUCUUGUGGCCAGGCACAGUGGCUCACACCUGUAAUCCCAGCACUUUGGGAGGCCGAGGUAGGAGGGUCACUUGAGGUCAGGAGUUUGAGACCAGCCUGGCCAACAUGGUGAAACCCCAUCUCUACUAAAAAUACAAAAAUUAGCUGGGUAUGGUAGUGUUCAGGCCCAGGUAUAGGGGGUCAGCCCAGAGCUGUGGGUGAAAGGACAGGCCCAUGGUCCCACCUGUGGGAGCAGGAGAGGACCAGGCCGAUGAGCCUUGCAGGGGGCACGCCAGCUUGUGGUCCCAGCUAGUUUCUGCUCCCACCACCCCCAUCCCACUCCCAGGGAGGGAUGUCCCUUCUAGGGCUACCCCCUUCCCUGCAGCCCUGGCUGCUCAGCAGCCGCCUUGAGCAAGCCCUUAUCCACUUCCUCCUGGCCUGGGGGCGGGGCACGCAUCUGCCAGUCCUGUGACCGUCCCCUUCAGCCCCAUCUCUGAGAGUGGGGUUUCCUGAGAGUCUGCCCUUCUGCCCCGCACACCAGGGGCCCAGAGCUGCAGAAGCCCCCACAGGCUUUGUUCCCAGCAGGGCUCAGAGGGCUCCUGGUGCUCCAUCAGCAGUCCCUGGAGGACACGGAGCAGUCUCAAGUGCAGCCGUCCAUGUGGCCUUCAGCCCUUGUGAUUCCAUGAGCUAGCAUCAGCCGUCCCCUCAGUGGGUGGCAGAGGCUGCCGGGAGCAGAAGAAAGAGCCCAUCCUUGGGUUCUCCUGGCUUCUCGCUCAGAGCUGCUCUCUGCUGUGAAGGAGGAAGUAGGCAUAUCCCAGUGAGUUUUGCGUCGCCUACAUCCAGGCAGCUCAGCCAUAAGUCAGCCCAAAGCCCGCCAGCUGGGAGCUGCACUGAGCCCCUGGUCACAAAAGUGAACGUCACAGGACGGGCCAACUCUGCCCAGGCCUCGCUGUGUGCACAUACACAGGUGUACGCAUGUAUGUAGGCAUGAACAUGUGGGUGGACAUGUGCAUGCAAGUGUUUUGUGUACAAGCAUAUACGUGUGGCUGGGCACAUGUGUGUGCAUGAGUGUUCAUAUGGAAGUAUAUGCUGGGCGAGGCGGCUGGAUCACUUGAGGCUAGAAGUUGGAGACCAGCCUGGCCAACAUGGCAAAGCCCUGUCUCUAUUAAAAGUACAAAAAUUAGCCAGACGUGGUGAUGCACGCCUAUAUCCCAGCUACAUGGGAGGCUGAAGCACGAGAAUCUCUUGAACCCAGUAGGCAGAGGUUGCAGUGAGCUGAGAUCGCACCGCUGCAUUCCAGCCUGGGUGACAGAGCAAGGCUCCGUC